rnacentral:rRNA from 1 species
GUGUGACUGCGUACCUUUUGUAUAAUGGGUCAGCGACUUAUAUUCUGUAGCAAGGUUAACCGAAUAGGGGAGCCGAAGGGAAACCGAGUCUUAACUGGGCGUUAAGUUGCAGGGUAUAGACCCGAAACCCGGUGAUCUAGCCAUGGGCAGGUUGAAGGUUGGGUAACACUAACUGGAGGACCGAACCGACUAAUGUUGAAAAAUUAGCGGAUGACUUGUGGCUGGGGGUGAAAGGCCAAUCAAACCGGGAGAUAGCUGGUUCUCCCCGAAAGCUAUUUAGGUAGCGCCUCGUGAAUUCAUCUCCGGGGGUAGAGCACUGUUUCGGCAAGGGGGUCAUCCCGACUUACCAACCCGAUGCAAACUGCGAAUACCGGAGAAUGUUAUCACGGGAGACACACGGCGGGUGCUAACGUCCGUCGUGAAGAGGGAAACAACCCAGACCGCCAGCUAAGGUCCCAAAGUCAUGGUUAAGUGGGAAACGAUGUGGGAAGGCCCAGACAGCCAGGAUGUUGGCUUAGAAGCAGCCAUCAUUUAAAGAAAGCGUAAUAGCUCACUGGUCGAGUCGGCCUGCGCGGAAGAUGUAACGGGGCUAAACCAUGCACCGAAGCUGCGGCAGCGACGCUGAUGCGUUGUUGGGUAGGGGAGCGUUCUGUAAGCCUGUGAAGGUGUACUGUGAGGUAUGCUGGAGGUAUCAGAAGUGCGAAUGCUGACAUAAGUAACGAUAAAGCGGGUGAAAAGCCCGCUCGCCGGAAGACCAAGGGUUCCUGUCCAACGUUAAUCGGGGCAGGGUGAGUCGACCCCUAAGGCGAGGCCGAAAGGCGUAGUCGAUGGGAAACAGGUUAAUAUUCCUGUACUUGGUGUUACUGCGAAGGGGGGACGGAGAAGGCUAUGUUGGCCGGGCGACGGUUGUCCCGGUUUAAGCGUGUAGGCUGGUUUUCCAGGCAAAUCCGGAAAAUCAAGGCUGAGGCGUGAUGACGAGGCACUACGGUGCUGAAGCAACAAAUGCCCUGCUUCCAGGAAAAGCCUCUAAGCAUCAGGUAACAUCAAAUCGUACCCCAAACCGACACAGGUGGUCAGGUAGAGAAUACCAAGGCGCUUGAGAGAACUCGGGUGAAGGAACUAGGCAAAAUGGUGCCGUAACUUCGGGAGAAGGCACGCUGAUAUGUAGGUGAAGUCCCUCGCGGAUGGAGCUGAAAUCAGUCGAAGAUACCAGCUGGCUGCAACUGUUUAUUAAAAACACAGCACUGUGCAAACACGAAAGUGGACGUAUACGGUGUGACGCCUGCCCGGUGCCGGAAGGUUAAUUGAUGGGGUCAGCGCAAGCGAAGCUCUUGAUCGAAGCCCCGGUAAACGGCGGCCGUAACUAUAACGGUCCUAAGGUAGCGAAAUUCCUUGUCGGGUAAGUUCCGACCUGCACGAAUGGCGUAAUGAUGGCCAGGCUGUCUCCACCCGAGACUCAGUGAAAUUGAACUCGCUGUGAAGAUGCAGUGUACCCGCGGCAAGACGGAAAGACCCCGUGAACCUUUACUAUAGCUUGACACUGAACAUUGAGCCUUGAUGUGUAGGAUAGGUGGGAGGCUUGGAAGUGUGGACGCCAGUCUGCAUGGAGCCGACCUUGAAAUACCACCCUUUAAUGUUUGAUGUUCUAACGUUGACCCGUAAUCCGGGUUGCGGACAGUGUCUGGUGGGUAGUUUGACUGGGGCGGUCUCCUCCUAAAGAGUAACGGAGGAGCACGAAGGUUGGCUAAUCCUGGUCGGACAUCAGGAGGUUAGUGCAAUGGCAUAAGCCAGCUUGACUGCGAGCGUGACGGCGCGAGCAGGUGCGAAAGCAGGUCAUAGUGAUCCGGUGGUUCUGAAUGGAAGGGCCAUCGCUCAACGGAUAAAAGGUACUCCGGGGAUAACAGGCUGAUACCGCCCAAGAGUUCAUAUCGACGGCGGUGUUUGGCACCUCGAUGUCGGCUCAUCACAUCCUGGGGCUGAAGUAGGUCCCAAGGGUAUGGCUGUUCGCCAUUUAAAGUGGUACGCGAGCUGGGUUUAGAACGUCGUGAGACAGUUCGGUCCCUAUCUGCCGUGGGCGCUGGAGAA